rnacentral:pre_miRNA from 2 species
UUGUGCUUGAUCUAACCAUGUGGUAGAACAAUACAAAUGGAACAUGGUUCUGUCAAGCACCAUG